GAGAUGAUUGUGUGAGGUUGCUUUGGCUGAGAAGAGAAGCCAUUACUUCCUUUUUAAAACAUUUUUAUCUUUAUUAUUUAUUUAUUAUAAUUUCAGAUGCUUUUUUUCUUUUUCUUUUUUUAAUUGAGGUUUAGUUGACAUAUAACAUUAUAUUAGUUUCAGGUGUACAACAUAAUGAUUCAAUAUUUGCAUACAUUGCAAAGUGAUCACAAUAAUAAGUCUAGUUAAUGUCUGUCACCACUCAGUUACAAAAUUUUUUUUACUAUUUUUUCCGGUGAUGAGGACUUCUAAGAUCUACUUUUUUAGCAACUUUCGAAUAUGUAAUACAGUGUUAUUAACUAUAGUCAGCAUGCUGUACAAUACAUCCCCAUGACUUAUUUAUUUUAUAACAGGAAGUUUGACCCAUUUGACCAACUUAAUCCCUUACCAUCCCACCCCACUCCCUACCCCAGCAACCACCAAUCUGUUCUCUGUAUCUAUGAGCUUGGUUUUUUGUUUGUUUUGUUUUUUAGGUUCCACAUAUAAGUGAGACCCUAUGGCAUUCUUUCUUUUCUGACUUACUUUACUUAGCAUAAGGCCCUCAGUUUCCAUCCACGUUGUUGCAAACGGCAAGAUUUUGUCCUUUUUAUGGCUGAGUAGUAUUCCAUAGCAUAUAUGCCACAUCUUUAUUCAUUCAUCCAUCGAUGGACACUUAGAUUAUUUCCAUAUCUUGGCUAUUGUAAAUAAUGCUGCAACAAACAUGAGGGUGCAUAUAUCUUUUUGACUUUGUGUUUUCAUUUUCUUUAGAUAAAUACUCAGAAGUGGAAUUGCUGGAUCCUAUAGUAAUUCUAUUUUUAAUUUUUUGAGAAAGCUCCAUACUGUUUUCUAGAGAUGGUGCACCAAUUUACAUUCCCACCAACAGUGCACAAGGGUUCCCUUUUCUCCACAUCCUCACCAACACUUGUUAUCUCUUGUCUUUUUGAUGACAGUCACUCUGACAGGUGUGAGGUGAUAGCUCACUGUGGUUUUGAUUUGCAUUCUUCUGAUGGUUAGUAAUGUUGACCAUCUUUUCAUUUGCCUGUUGGCCAUCUGUUUGUCUUCUUUGGAAAAAAUCUAUUCAGAUCCUCUGCCCAUUUUUUAGUUGGAUUGUUUGUUUUUUUGCUGUUGAGUUGUAAGGGUUACGUGCUUUAGAUAUUAACCCCUUUUCCAAUAUAGGAUUACAAAUAUUUUCUCCCAUUCAGUAAGUUGCCUUUUCAUUUUGUUGAUGGUUUCCUUUGCUGUGUAGGAGGUUUUUAGUUUGAUGUAGUCCUACAUGUUUGUUUUUGCUUUUGUUGCCUUCACUUUUGGUGUCAAAUUCAAAAAAUCAUCAUCAAGACUGAUGUCAAGGAGCUUACUGCCUAUGCUUUUUUCUAGGAGUUUUAUGGUAUCAGGUCUUGCAAUCAAGUCUUUAAUUCAUUUCGAGUUAGUUUUUGUGUAUGGUGUAAGAUAGUGGUCCAGUUUCAUUCUUUUGCAUGUGACUGUUCAGUUUUCCCAUCACCAUUUGUUGAAAACACUGUCCUUUCUCCAUUGUAUAUUCUUGGCUCCUUUGUCAUAAAUUAAUCGACCAUAUAUGUGUGGGUUUACUUCUGGGCUCUCCAUUCUGUUUUAUUGAUCUACAUAUCUGUUUUCUUGGCAAUACUAUACUGUUUUGAUGACUACCACUUUGUAAUAUAGUUUGAAACCAGGGAACGUGAUGCCUCCAGCUUUGUGACAUCUCUUCUUUUGAUGGCAUUCCCACUGAGUGCUUAGCACAGCACCAGUACAAGGACAGACUCCAUGUUUCUGUGAAUAUGUUUCUCUCUGUUUAAGGAGAUAGCACAUAAACAUAUGAAACAAUGAACAAAAUAGCUUGGGCACUGAUAUCACAAUAUGGUGGAAAGAGAACACCUUGAAGUCAGACAUAGCUUCAGUCCUACUUUUUGCUCCUACCAGCGACAUGAUUUUAGGCAAAUUAUUAACCUCAUCAAGUCUCUCUCUUUUAAUUUAACCUGAGGGAAAAAAUAGAGAUAUGGAUACCUUUUUUCCCUCCAGUUUGUUAGGAUUAAAUAGAAAAACCUGAAUGGAAAUUAAAAAAAGAGAAAAGAAAAAAGAAAAACUUGAACAGUAAUAGGUACUUAAUGCGUGUUUCAAGAUUCAAGAGAGUGAUUCUGACUUAGCGAAGGAAACAGCCUACCCAUUUGUUCUGAUUGUUUCCAGGCUGGAGAUGGAUGGCACAAAGCUUGGAAGUGUUAGUUUUGUGUUACCGAAUAAUCAGAGACUAGAAAACAUACAAUGUCAAAUCAUAAAGUAUAGGCAAGUGUACACAGAAUUAGAGAUGAAUACAUGCUUUUGGGAAACUGGAAACUAUUCUUCUCAGAAGGCUGAUAGAACGUGGAUAAGCAUGUGGGAGAAGGGGUGUGACAGGAAACUGGAAAUAUCUAUUACCUUUCUCUUCUGCACUGAAAUUCUCUUCACUGGCCAGGAUCUGGGCUAAGGCAGCCAGCCAAGCCAGAUGAUCUUUCUGUAUUCCUUUUCCUGGUUCAAUUUCUGCAGGACUCUGACUCCCAGCCAGGGUAACUCAAAAGGUCUCUGCUUUCGGCAGCGGGUUCUAUUGCCAACUUCUGUCUCCACAUCUUCAUGCUAGACGUUUACACUGCCAAAUGCACCGGACGAAAAGCAGAAUGACUCUUUGAUUUCUUAGAAGCAGCAAGAUGGAGAAACUGAAGAACCCAAAUUCUGGGAUUUAAGAGCUUGCACUCUUCACUACACAAAACUUAUUUUAAGUUGAAUUAAAAAGUAAGUAAAAUAGGAAAUUGCAUUUUUUAUUAUGGAAAACUUCAAGAUUGCAUAGUGAACCCUCAGGUAUCCAUCGCCCAGCUUCAAUGAUCAUUAGCACGUGGCCAGUGUGGCUUUCUCUGUGUCCUCUAUCUUCUGCCAUCUCUACUACAAAGCAAGUCCCGGACAUCACAUUAUUUCAUUCAAAGGAAUUUUUAAAUUAAAACAAAUACACUUAUCAGGAUGAGUAUUAUGAUCCUGUGUUACAUAAAUAUUAAUGAUAUCUUAGAAUUUUUAAAGCACAUUUAGGUGCAUCCUCUCAUUUAAUUCUCAUAAUCUUUGAAUUACUAAUCUUUAUUCCCAUGUUAGAAAUGAGAAAACCACGACUUUGAGAGAGAUUGGUCAUUUCUAAGUUAUAAAACAAAUAGUGACAGAGUUGGGACUGAAAUUUAAGCCAUCAGAUUCCGAAUCUUAGCCUCGUUCUCUCACACCACUGUCACUUUACAGACUGAUAGUUGUGAAUGAACUUCAGCCAUGUCACCAUGGGAGCGAGAGAGAGGGAAUUUAAAAUGGUUCAUGCAUUUUACAACCUAAUCUUCCAUUCUCCUGAGGAUUUCUGGAUUUCAUCAUCCUUACAUCAAUAAUUGUGUUUUGUCCUGUGUUGUGAAAUUGGACUAUCAGAACCUUGUAGGAAUUAUUCUUAGUAUGAAUGAGACACUGGGUUUGGAUUAGGUUGAGAUGUAAUUAGCACAUUCUUUCUCUUGGUUAAGUUGAUUCACUUCUCUGUGCUACAGAUAGAAUUGAUAUGCUAACUCAGUACCUGAAUGCCGUGUUUAUGCAUUUACUUUUAUGCUUAAACUUGCCAUGCCUUAGGGGAUACCAAGAUGAAUAAAGCAGACUCUGGCCUCAAGAAACUUACAAUCUAGUGGUAGGGAAAAUAUAUACAUAAGUGUCCAUAAUACAAAUAAAAUGCUACACGUCAAGGUCAUAUAUAGAUAAGUUUAGAAGUUCAGAAGAUAAUAAAAAUAACCAUUGUUUAUGAAUAACUUCCCUGUUUAAGCAACAGGAAUGUGUGUAAUUUAUUUUAGUGUUUCAACACACAACUUAAAAGGCAAAUAUUAUUAACCCCAAAUAUAGAUGACAAAGUUGAGGCUCAGGUGGAAGGUGACAACUGAAUUGGCCUUAAGGGAUGAGCAGGCUUUGCAUAUCUGGUGAGUUGGGCAUGUCAGGAAACAGAAUUUGCUACUCCAAAAUGUGUCUCUUUGGCUUAAUUAUUUUUAGGAACAAAAGACUCAGGAAGAAACUUUGACUUUCCCCUAAUUGCCUAAAAGCAUUUAAGAUAGAAGGCCUGUUUGAGGAAGGAGCUAAUAUCAUAGAAAACUACAGUAUAUUAUGAUCUAAGUGUGGUAGACAAGGAGGAACCUAGCAAGGCCUUUUUGAUCAGUCUUCUCCAUGUCUCAUUGUCUCUGCAAGGCAUGGCAAACAUUUGUUUACCAAACAUUGGCUUUUCCAUCUCCAUAUGAAUUGCCUUCCUCCCCUUUGAAGUCCCAAACCACUACCCCCAACAUCCUCCUUUGUCUUUAGCUGAAGACGGUAUUUAAGGUGGUGGCUUCAAGGAUUUUGGUGAGUUACUCAGCUUUCCUGGAUUUCUCCCAUAUAUACGUGUUAUUAAAUUUGCUUGAUUUUCUCCUAUUAUUCUGUCUCAUGUCGAUUUAAUUCUUAAACCAGGCAGAAGAACCUAAAAGGGCAAAGGAAUAUUUUUUUCUCCCCUACAGGCAUCCGAGGUGAAGGAAAAUGCCACAGAGAAGCACUGAAACAGCCAGGGAUCUGGGAAGCAGAGAAACCUCCCAGGAUCAGGGAUCAGGGAAAAGCAAAUGGAAAGAUCAAAAGCAUAUUCAAGGCCUCUAAUUUGUAAUGAUGAGGAAAGACACUGAGUGAAUGUAUAUUGUCAAGUGUAGGCUGAACAAGGACAGUGUGGUUUCAGUGAAGUGUCUGCUGAUCAGUGAAAUUCCCCCGGACCCUCUGAGUGAUGUGAGUUUUUGGGGAGGCCGUGACCUUAGAAUGUACGAAACUCUCUGAUUUGUGCCUUUUAUUUUCACCUGUGGUUCUUUCUCUUUUUUUCAUUCUAGACCGUCUGCGGUCAGCUCUCUGCUAUAAGCAAUUUGCUAGCAGCUGAGCUUUAGUUAAAGCCUUGUAAAUCACCUAUAUAAUUAUAUUACCAACAAAGAAUAAUUCAGCAGUGAGUUAGGCUAAUGAAGACAUUAUUAUUUUAUAUUGUUUAACCAUCUUUGUUCCGUUUAGAGUAGCCUAAGCAAUUUGUUUUUAUUAUUAUCCAGGUGUCCCCUCUAUUAACUAAAUUUUAUUUUUUAAUGUAAGAAUUAAUAGAAGUUAUGGCAGUGAAACUAUUCUGUAUGAUACUAUAAUGGUGGAUACAUGUUAUUAUUCAUUUGUCAAAAUCCAUAGAAUGUACAAUCCCAAGAAUGAACCCUAAUGUAAACUAUGGACUUUGAGUGAUAAUGACGUGUCCUUGUAGCUUCAUCAGUUGUAACAAAGACACCACUCUGGUGGGGCAUGUUGCUAGUCAGAGAGGGCAUGCAUGUGUGGGGGCAGGAGACACAUGGAAAAUCUCUGUCCUCUCUGCUCAGUUUUCCUGCGAAACUAAAACUGCUCUAAAAAAAUGAAGUUUAUUAAAGAAGUUAAUAGAAGCAGAAAACUGACAAAAGCCUGAAGCCGUCUAUCUAGGCAAUUUCAUGUGGGAGUUCAGAAGUUGGUGGUAAAGGCAGGGGUAACAGUCAUAGUGCAACUGGGAGCAGGUGGGAGCCUAGGUUCUUCCAGCUGCACCGGGGGUGGCGGAGGUUCCUUAGAAAGAAUAAAUUUUCCUGUGGUGUGAGAAGAGACAGCUAAUGAGAACACGAGAGAGGAGAGAUCUUGGAGUCAGAGCAAAUAUUAAAGAAUUCUAGAAGCGCAACAUUCAUUGUCCUGUACCAUCCAGAACUGAUGCGCACUGAACCCUUCGUCUAUCCCUUGCUUUCCAAAAAAGACUUUUAGUGAUGUCUUCCCUUAGGAAUGCAUCUUGAUUUUGUAAUGGAAGUUGGCUAUUAGGUUGUUUUUUAUUUUUACCUUAAAGUUUCAAACACAAAGAAAAACGUGCAUGUCUAAUCUAAUCUGUCCAAUUCUGCCAAAUCUCUCUCUCUCAAUAUUUUGUUAGAAAAUUGUGACAGUGAAAUAUAUGCGUAUCCCUGGCAUAUACAUGCCCUUUGUUCUCACACGCCUGUUUGACCUAAGUACUUUUCACCAUCACUUACUCUUCCAUCUCAACUCGUUUGUUUUGAGGUUGCUUUUUUAUUUUCACUGAAUAUUUUCUUUUGAGUCUUAGUAUUAAAAACUAUAACAUGACAAAAAUCUGGAAAAAAAAGCAAGAGCACUGUAUUGAGACUUGGAACCAGGUUUCUUUGUUAUUUCUAUAUUGCUGGUUUCUGAAGGCCUCGCUGUCCCCAUCUUGUACAUCUUCAUUAGCCACAGACAUAUUUACAUUCAUUUAGGGGCCUGGUUGCUUGGCCAAUAAUUUCAUUUCUUUAAAGAACUUUAUGACUUGUAAUUACAGGAAGGGACUAAAUAAGCCAGGAAAUGAGGAUUCCCGAUCGAGCCUUCAGUCACUUUCCUAGAGUGUUAGUGAAAUCAAUUAAGUCCUCUUGGCAUAAUUCUUACCGUAAACCUGGAGUCAUCCAUGUCAAUCUUAUUAAAGACUAGGAAAGAAAAUUCAUAUGGAUCUGUUGAAGGGGCACAAAAUAACUAAAUAUCUUGGGUUCAGCUACUAUACUUUUAGCGAAAAUAAUAAUAUUUAAUUUUAAAAUAUUUUAUUGUCUAAAAGCAAUCUGAAAUUUUUCUACACAAUCUCUUUAUGUUGAAAUUUACUAUCUCUUACGAGAAAUAUAGCUUCAGAAUUUUCUCUUGCAUCACCAUCUGCCAAUCACAGAGAAAUUCAGUGAAUGCUUAUGAAACUAGAAUAAUCACCUAUGUCUUUGAUGUCCUUGAAUUCUUUUUACUUCCAGCAUAAUAUUUUAUUAAUUUUUUUCCCAUGCUCUAUAAAAUGUCUAUGAUGUCUCUAUCUAAAGAUCUUGGCUUUUUUAUGUUGUGUAAUUGUCUGAUUUGUAAUUGCUGCUCUCUUGUUAAUCCAUUUGCAAAUAUUUACCUCUGUUCUGUUCAGAUUGAACAUUCUGGAAUUACUUGACAAGUCAAAAUCCUACAUUUCUCUUUGGCUGUUUAAAUGGUUAUUAUUGAUCUCAAAAAUGAUUGCUUAUAAUUUAAUUUUUCAUUAGUCUUACUUUUUAAGUAAGAAAGUAAAGUUACUUUCUUCAAAAGAUAAUAUUUGACCAAAUUUUUAAGGAAAGCAGAGAUGUUUCCAAUGAGUGUUUUAUAUAUCUAUAAAACUGGCUCACUGAGUUACUUGCAAGGGUAACAUACAAUGUACAUAACAGUCUAUAUCGUAUCAGUACCAACCAAGAACAGGGUGUGGGUCUUAAAGCUAGAGAAAAUUGCUGGAUCAUGAAGAGGGGCUCCCGGGAGAGCGACUGGCUAGCUGAAGUAGCGGUGUCAAAAAGACUCAGCUGGCCAUCCAUUCUAUUGUUUGAAGAGCUGUGUCAAGAUUCUAGAUUCUAUCUUGAUGUAGGCCAGUUGACAGAUACAGCAACUUACAAUACAUUCUAAUGAAGCAGCAUGACACUGAAGAAAGAGCAUGGACUACAGAGUCAGAAAGGCCAAGGCUGGAUUCUGCCUUUACAGUUGCUAGUUGUGUGACCCUGGGCAAAUUUCUUACCCUGUGGAUAUCAAAUUUCCUUCUCUGUAAAGGAACACAGCAAUGUCCUCCACGUGGGGUUGCCAGAAGGAUAGGGGUAGCAUGGGUGAAACACAGCACCUGGCCUACAGCAAGUGUGAAGUCGCUGAGAGUGGUCGCCAUCAUUCCCUCCAUGUCUGUGAUCCCAUUCUCUCGGGAUGCUCUUUCCUCCUUGGAAAACCUUUUCCUGGGCUCUUCGUCUUCUGCCCCUGCCUUAAACAUGGCUGCUCGCUGGGAUUCCUUCCCACAUCUGUCUUUUGUUCUCUUUCUGCACAUUCUCUCCGCAAUCUCAUUCACCACCUUGACUUCUGCCAUAACCUCAGCAAUGACUUCCUAAUCUGAAUCAUGGUUCAACAUUUCUCCUGGCCUCCAAAUCCAGCUUCUUACUAGUAAUCUCUGAUUGAAUAUCCUACAGGGAUCUCAGACUCCUCAUGUCCCUAUUGAACUCAUCUCAGACUGUUUCCUUACGUCUCCUAACUUGGUUAAAGUAGCACUAUUCAAUUACUCUCUUAAGCCAAAAACCUGAGGGUCAUCUUUGAAGAUUCACUACCAUUUUUAUACCCAAAUAUGUCAUCCAUUCCUGUCAAUUUGCCUCUAAAAUAUCUUUUCAUCCCCACUGUCUUAGUUUAGGCCCCCAUUCUUUCUCUGCUGUAAGGUAGAUUUCCCAGUUUCCAACAUCAACCCUCUCCAGCCUAUAGCAAGCCCAAGAGAAUAAUUUUUUUCAUUUUGCUAUUACUUUCUUUUAAAAAGUUUAUUAUGCCCUAAAUGACUAUUUACUGUAAAAAGAGUAGAAAAUACAAAUAAAUAAAAAUAAGAAAUAAAAAAUAUCUGUAAUGUACCAGCUAGAUGAAACAACUUGCUAAAAAUUUGGUAUAUAUUCUUUCAAACUAUUUUAAACAUACAAAUAAUAAAACACUAUGUAAGGUUGAAUCCUUGAUGAGACAAGAUUGAAAAGAAACUGAACUUAAAUUUGCAAUCUGACCUGCACUGGGCAAUUGAUGGUAAACACACUGUGCCAAUAAAUUAAAGUCAGACCAUUGCUUGGUGAUUGACUAUUGGCUGAUUUUAUUUUAAAGGCCCAUAUGGUUGAAUCACAUACCUUUCUUGAGGCUGUGGUUUCUCCUCAAAAAGAAAAAAAAUAUGUCGUUGAUGUCAGUCAUCCUAGCAGCGGUCAAUCCUGGAGCAUGAGACAAGGCAAGCUGAGGUGAGGUAAAAGGCUUUUCUCUUUGACUCCAGAAGGUCCUUUAGUCUAAACCCUGAGGAACAGGAUUCCAGGGAAUUUCCAGUGAAGGAACAGCUAUGGCUACAUGGAGGAACCUGGGAGCAAACCAGCCUUAUUAGGGAUCAAGGGUAAGCCCUGGGAAUGAGCAGUAGAAAUUCUGAGUUAUCCUGCGUGUGCUUCAUCCUUCCCAAUAUUCCCAAAACUACAGUGAGACUGGAUGGAAGUUACAGCCUGCUUCCUGCUGAACUGUGGGGAAAUAAGAGAAAGGUUCCAUUUGAUGCUUGAGACAAGAUUAAAUGAUGAGAAAAUGCGACUAGAAAGGCUGGACAGAGCCAAGACAGCCAGGUUUGCUGACCGCUGCUUUAGGUGUCUGUAUUAAUCCACCGGCUGAGUUGUGCUGCAGAAGGAAAUGAUUGAAAACCGCAGUGGCUUACAACAAAGGGGCACUUCUCACUCAUGUGACAUGACCUUUGAGGGUCAGCUUUGAUGUUUCACUCCAGGCUGCAGGCUGGAAGAGCAGACCCCAUAUGGAACAGUGCUGAUUUAGGAAAGAGGGAGAAGAGAGAAGGCAGAAUCACAAUAUCUCUUGAAGCAGGUCAAACAGUAUGAGUCCUACAAUGAGUACGGCCUCAGAAUGCUAUGUGUUCCGAGGGUGACAAAGGAAGCUCAGAGCCUCUGGAUUCCUGGCAAGACCCUCCACCUCACUCUCCCCCAUGCUGGCACUCACAGCCUCCUCUUCGCUCUUUGCUUGGAGAAUCUCAGGAUCCAUCUCACCAUUUCCCUUGCAUCACAGAUUGAGUUUCCUGAGCAGGAGAUUUGAACACAGAUGGUUCACUGGGGAGUUCUCUCAGCAUCGCCAGCUGUCGGGGGAAUGGAAGGCAGCAGAAUGGGCCUGGGCAGAGUAGUGGCAGCAGAGGCCCGCCAAGAUCCUGUAAUGCCAGGAAGAGUUCCGAAACUUUGAUGAUUUUUUAGAGUGGCUAUGAGGAAGGUAUAAAUGGAAAUACAGCCCAGGUGGUUGUGGACAGCCAAAAUAGAACUUCUAGAAGUGAAGUUGACAUUGACAAGGGCAGACAGAUGUAGAGUUAACCUGGUCUUGGAGGACAUUGGUGAGCAACUCAAUCAAAUCAAUCCUGAAACCAACCCUACCUCUAGCACUCGUCAUAAAGAGCAGAGGUCCCAAGCCAUCUAAUGUCACGGAUGCAGUAUCCAGAGAGUCUCUCAUUUCAAUAACUUCCUAUAAGGAAGACUGGUUUGAUUUUCAAGGUCCCUGGACUACAGAGAACGUGAGCUCUUGCUGCAAGUCACCUGCCUCUAAGAGACAUAAAUAACCACAACUGGCAGAAAAUAAAGCAGGCAAUCUCUGGAAAUGCCUGGAUAAAUUAAAAUGAAAUACAACCCAAGACUCCAGCACUGUAGACUCCGUUGAAUGCUGUGUUGCCAGUCAGCAGGAUUGCAAAGCCAUGAUAUGAAACCAGCAGGGAGAACAGCUUUGUUUUUGGAUGAUCCUGCUUGUCUGACCUCUGACCUCCUCCCUUCUCAUCUGUGCUUUCAUGAGAUAAACACUACAGAUUGCUCCAGAGGAAGGCUACGGAAAUGCUGAAGACCAUAUGACAAUUCCUUUUAAAGUCAGGUAUUCAAUUGUGAAAGAUGUGCGAACAAUCUAAUGAUGGAUGUUCAUUAGUUCACUGCUGUCAAGACGAGUUACUACUCCACAUCUCUGAUACUGAUCGUGUUUUCGCAGUCAUGAUUGAGUUGUUGAAGAGAAAACACUUCACAGAGCUCUCUCGACUGUGUCCAAACCAGCAGCAACUUGAAAUAUCAUUGGCUUACUCAGCAGCAUCGAAACCCACAAAGUGAAUAGGUUAGAUCCAUCCAGAGACUUUUCUGCAGCAGCAAAUGGAUUUGCCCCUUUUAGAACAGGGAGCACAGUUCCAACACAGUUACUCUUAUUGGAACAGACUAAGGAAUUUACUUCAAAUGCGGUUUCUGGUUGUCCUGUGGAAGCUAUGUCAGAAUAAAUAUUCAACUACUCUUCAGAGGCGU
ensembl:lncRNA